UAGUACUGGAGGAGGUGGUGGACCUGGUGGAAAGAAAGCAGCGAAGAAGAAAUGCUCUUCUUUCAGUGUCAGCUCUCUUCAGGGUGAUUAGUGAAGCUCAAAGUUUUUGUGCUUAUUUUAUAUAAGCUUUUUAGUUUUGGAAAUGAUCACACAAGCCAGUCUGCUCUUCAGGAAAACCUUGGGAAGCUGAUGACCAGCUUGAGAAGCACUCAUCCACAUUCUGUAAGAUGCAUUAUCCCUAGUGAGACUAAAACAGGUGUUAUGGAGAAUCAUCUGGUCAUCCAUCAGUUGAGGUGCAACGGUGUGUUAGAGGCAAUCAGAAUCUGCAGGAAGGGUUUCCCAAGCAGGAUUCUGUAUGGAGACUUUACACAAAGGUACAAAGUACUGAAUGCAAGUGUCAUCCCUGGAUCAUACCCAGUAUAAAUUUGGGCACACCAAGG